AAUCCUGGAUCCGGGCUUCACGGGGCUGGAUUUGAAGACGCAUCACAGAUGCCGUCACGGCGACGCCCCGUAGAGGAAGGUUGCCUUUGACAUGGCCGCCACAAGGAGAAGAUUCCUUGGAUGUGCUCGUCAGUUUGCUUGGGUUAAACUCAAGAAACGAACUUCUGCCAAAUGAUGUGGAAGCGCCCACUGAUCAAGCAUACAUAGCUCUAUGGACUGAGAAAAACAACCUGCAGCUUGCAUUUGAGCAGAAGGAACACCAAAUGAAGACUAGGGAGCUCAGGCUUAAGGAAGUUAUCCGGCACAACAACGAGAGAGCAUCACGCUCUUUAAACAUCUAUGCCAAUGUGUUCAUCUUCUGCCGCCAGCGACGCGAUUUUUGAUCUCCCUUCAGAGAUCCCUGAUCCGUGUUUUUAGGGCCGGAGGUGAACACAAAUAACAGGUGCCGCCAUGGCAAUGUCCCGCAGCUGAAGGUGGCUUUCGAUAUGGCUGCAUCUGGCAGGAGUUUCCUUGGCUGCCAUCAGUAAGUUUGAGCAGAGGGAGCACAAGCUGAAGGAAUUAAUCAGAUAAAGCUUUGAGAUCUUCAAACAGUUAUGCUAAUGAGUGCAUCUCUGCAGUCAGUAUAGGUGUUACUCUGUUUUGCUAUAGUUGCCUUCAUAUUAUUUAAAUAGGCCUUCCGUUCAAUCUGAUCAACAAUUCAUGUAACAUAGAAGAACUAUGUUCCAGCUUAAUGUGUGAGAAACUAUAACUGUACAUGAAAACUUGUCUUUUAUCAUCAAAUUGAUCGUGACCAUGCAGGUUGCCAAUAUAUUUGUUUGUACAUCAUAAGAAUUAGAGCGUCCAGUUUGGGAUUCA